UCCCCCCUCUAAUCAGUGAAACUGAUCUCUCCGUGAAGAAGCGGGGAUAUACAUAUAAGACGAGAAGACCCCAUGGAGCUUUAAACCCGACAGCACCCGCUUAUUUUAAGCCCAAUUAUACGCCCGUACCUGUCUGCUCGGUUUUAGGUUGGGGUGACCACGGAGUAUAAAGUAACCUCCAUGAAGAAAGGGGUAAAUACCCUUAUUAGAGAAAGACACUUCCAAAAACUAACAAAUUAAUUUUUAAUGAUCCGAUAUUCGAUCAACGAACCAAGUUACCCUGGGGAUAACAGCGCAAUCCACCUCGAGAGCUCCUAUCGACAGGUGGGUUUACGACCUCGAUGUUGGAUCAGGGUAUCCCAGUGGUGCAGCAGCUACCAAAGGUUCGUUUGUUCAACGAUUAAAACCCU
rnacentral:rRNA from 1 species